rnacentral:rRNA from 1 species
CCUACGGGUGGCUGCAGUGGGGAAUAUUGGACAAUGGGCGAAAGCCUGAUCCAGCCAUGCCGCGUGUGUGAAGAAGGCCUUCGGGUUGUAAAGCACUUUCAGUGGGGAAGAAAGCCUUGGGGCUAAUACCCUCGAGGAAGGACAUCACCCACAGAAGAAGCACCGGCUAACUCCGUGCCAGCAGCCGCGGUAAUACGGAGGGUGCGAGCGUUAAUCGGAAUUACUGGGCGUAAAGCGCGCGUAGGCGGUCUGAUAAGCCGGUUGUGAAAGCCCCGGGCUCAACCUGGGAACGGCAUCCGGAACGGUCAGGCUAGAGGGCAGGAGAGGAAGGUAGAAUUCCCGGUGUAGCGGUGAAAUGCGUAGAGAUCGGGAGGAAUACCAGUGGCGAAGGCGGCCAUCUGGACUGACACUGACGCUGAGGUGCGAAAGCGUGGGUAGCAAACAGGAUUAGAUACCCCAGUAGUC